ensembl:lncRNA
GAAAAAUUAAACUCUCUAUAUAUCUUCACAUUCACUUCUCACAAUUUAGAUUCAGUUCUCAAAUUCAAUUUCAAGUUACUGAGACAGACAUCCUGGUAGUUGGAGGAUGAAAGAAGAGCAAUCGAGCACAGAUCGAUAGAUAGCGUUCAUUGGUGCACAGGAUUCCUCUUGGGCCAAUCAGCACCUACUUUUUGGAGCAUAGUACGUACCCGUCAUGAAACAAGGAAGAAGUGCUUGCCUUGCUGACUGGCUUGACCACCAUGGAUUCGGCUGGGACAAAUACAACAGGAAAGGAGUCAGGAAAGAGGGAGAGAUGGCCGACCCAGUGUCCACACAGAAAUGACAAGGUCUUUUCCUGCCCUUUUUGGAGCCAGUGGAAAGCGCUGGCGUGUUCAAGGGCCUUCCAACCACUUCACACCAGUCAAAGAGAUAGAAGUUACAUUUUAUCUCUUACCCAAGAUUGUUGAGCACACUCCCAAAGGCAGUGAAGAAGUUUUCCAUCUGCAAGCUGGUUUGGGACGCAGGUCCACGCUGAUACCAGGGAACUACACCCAUGAUGAGGUAUGUUCAACUCUCAAAGAUCUUUGUCCAAAACUUGAAAGUGUGUCUGGGGGCUGGCUGAUUUACAAAGGAGCAGGUACCUAGAACUUACCCAUGGAAAAUCUAAUCUUGGUAUAAAAUCAUUUGAAUCAAUAUCUUGAGUGAUGAGCUUUCUGUAGAUAUAUUUAUCAUGUAUGU